rnacentral:rRNA from 1 species
AGAGUUUGAUCCUGGCUCAGGAUGAACGCUGGCUACAGGCCUAACACAUGCAAGUCGCGGGGCAGCAUGGGCUUAGCUUGCUAAGCCCGAUGGCGACCGGCGCACGGGUGAGUAACGCGUAUCCAACCUGCCCAUCACCGGGGAAUAACCUUGCGAAAGCAAGCCUAAUGCCCCAUGCCCUCCCCUGACGGCAUCCGAAAGGGAGGAAAGGAGAGAUUCGGUGACGGAUGGGGAUGCGUCCGAUUAGCCAGGCGGCGGGGUAACGGCCCACCGCGGCGACGAUCGGUAGGGGUUCUGAGAGGAAGGUCCCCCACACUGGAACUGAGACACGGUCCAGACUCCUACGGGAGGCAGCAGUGAGGAAUAUUGGUCAAUGGGGGCAACCCUGAACCAGCCAAGUAGCGUGCAGGACGACGGCCCUACGGGUUGUAAACUGCUUUUGGGCGGGGAUAACCGGCGCCACUUGUGGCGCCCUGCAGGUACCGCCCGAAUAAGGACCGGCUAAUUCCGUGCCAGCAGCCGCGGUAAUACGGAAGGUCCUGGCGUUAUCCGGAUUUAUUGGGUUUAAAGGGAGCGUAGGCGGCCUUUUAAGCGUGUUGUGAAAUGUCCCGGCUCAACCGGGGAGUUGCAGCGCGAACUGGAGGGCUUGAGUGCGCGGAAGGCAGGCGGAAUUCGUGGUGUAGCGGUGAAAUGCUUAGAUAUCACGAGGAACCCCGAUUGCGAAGGCAGCCUGCCGCAGCGCUACUGACGCUGAAGCUCGAAGGCGCGGGUAUCGAACAGGAUUAGAUACCCUGGUAGUCCGCGCGGUAAACGAUGGACGCCCGCUGUGGGGCUUUUAUAGUUCCGCGGCCAAGCGAAAGCGUUAAGCGUCCCACCUGGGGAGUACGCCGGCAACGGUGAAACUCAAAGGAAUUGACGGGGGCCCGCACAAGCGGAGGAACAUGUGGUUUAAUUCGAUGAUACGCGAGGAACCUUACCCGGGCUUGAACUGCAGGGGAACGACCCAGAGAUGGGAAGGUCAGCAAUGACCCCUGCGGAGGUGCUGCAUGGUUGUCGUCAGCUCGUGCCGUGAGGUGUCGGCUUAAGUGCCAUAACGAGCGCAACCCCCGUCCCCAGUUGCCAUCGGGUAGUGCCGGGCACUCUGUGGAGACUGCCGCCGCAAGGUGGAGGAAGGUGGGGACGACGUCAAAUCAGCACGGCCCUUACGUCCGGGGCCACACACGUGUUACAAUGGGGCGCACAGCGCGUCGGCCGCCCGCAAGCGCGGUCCAAUCGUGAAAUCGCCCCUCAGUUCGGACUGGGGUCUGCAACCCGACCCCACGAAGCUGGAUUCGCUAGUAAUCGCGCAUCAGCCAUGGCGCGGUGAAUACGUUCCCGGGCCUUGCACUCACCGCCCGUCAAG